rnacentral:rRNA from 1 species
UGGGGAAUAUUGGACAAUGGACGCAAGCCUGAUCCAGCCAUGCCGCGUGAGUGAUGAAGGCCCUAGGGUUGUAAAGCUCUUUCACCGGUGAAGAUAAUGACGGUAACCGGAGAAGAAGCCCCGGCUAACUUCGUGCCAGCAGCCGCGGUAAUACGAAGGGGGCUAGCGUUGUUCGGAUUUACUGGGCGUAAAGCGCACGUAGGCGGACUUUUAAGUCAGGGGUGAAAUCCCGGGGCUCAACCCCGGAACUGCCUUUGAUACUGGAAGUCUUGAGUAUGGUAGAGGUGAGUGGAAUUCCGAGUGUAGAGGUGAAAUUCGUAGAUAUUCGGAGGAACACCAGUGGCGAAGGCGGCUCACUGGACCAUUACUGACGCUGAGGUGCGAAAGCGUGGGGAGCAAACAGG